GCCAGCAUGGUAUAGUCAUUUGAACGCUGGACUACAACUCUGGAGACCUGGGUUCAAAUCCCUGCUCAGCCA